UAGGGAAUUUUGCGCAAUGGACGAAAGUCUGACGCAGCAACGCCGCGUGAAGGAUGAAGGCCCUCGGGUUGUAAACUUCUGUUGGAUGGGAAAAAAGCCGCAAGGUCUUGAUGGUACCAUUCGAGUAAGCACCGGCUAACUACGUGCCAGCAGCCGCGGUAAUACGUAGGGUGCAAGCGUUGUUCGGAAUCACUGGGCGUAAAGAGAGCGUAGGCGGGAUUGUAAGUUAGGAGUUUAAUGCAUGGGCUUAACCCAUGAUCUGCUUUUAAUACUGCAGUUCUUGAGUAUGGGAGAGGGUGAUGGAAUUCCAGGUGUAGCGGUGGAAUGCGUAGAUAUCUGGAAGAACACCAGUAGCGAAGGCGGUCGCCUGGCCCAAUACUGACGCUGAGGCUCGAAAGCUAGGGGAGCAAACAGG
rnacentral:rRNA from 2 species